rnacentral:rRNA from 1 species
CGGGUACAACGAGUCGCAAGACCGCGGGGUUUAGCAAAUCUCUUAAAGCCGUUCUCAGUUCGGAUUGUAGGCUGCAACUCGCCUACAUGAAGUCGGAAUCGCUAGUAAUCGCGGAUCAGCAUGCCGCGGUGAAUACGUUCCCGGGCCUUGUACACACCGCCCGUCACACCAUGAGAGUUUGUAACACCCAAAGCCGGUGGGGUAACCUUUUGGAGCCAGCCGUCUAAGGUGGGACAGAUGAUUAGGGUGAAGUCGUAACAAGGUAUC